UGCAGUUUCAUUUGUUAGUAGGAGCGCAAUAUAUUGAUUUUGUUUUAUCCCAUGUUACUAGUGCACGUUAGUAAUGGCGGCUAGUAUGAGAGUGCCGAAUGUUUGAUGAAAGAAUUUCUGUGAAGCGACAAAAAGAACAAUGGACCUGACCUGCCCGGUUAGAGCGCCCUACAUCGAGAACGCAGCUUACGAUUGACGAAUUGCCGUAAAUCAAAGCGCGACUUCGCAUAUCGCCGCCAUCUAUUGGAAAGAAAAAUAUUUAUUUCUCUUUGUUGAUUUUUUUCCUUUAUUAGGAGUUUUCUCACUUCUAUCCUUUACCCUACGGCGCUUUUUGUCUUCGGAUAACUCUGUCUUCACGUGACUCGAUGCCGGGUCCUUUCAUUGCGUAGGCCACUUCUAUACAGACUAUGCCAUGCGUUCUUUUUAGCGAUUACUGUUCGGAAGUCGUAUUUGGUUUGUUUGCGCGCCUGAUCCACGGUGCAUAUACGCAUUUCUUGGCUAUGUCGGCGAAUACUUAUUGCGCAUGCCGAGCGACUUUGCAUCUCAUUUCAUAGUGACGCCAGUCGCGUUUUUAUCUACCGCGUUCGCCAAAUCUCGAGCAAUUUAUUUAACCGAACAUAUACGUUUAGCACAAAGCAUGGCAUUAUGCGAAUUAUUGCAUAGGUGUUUUUAUUCUGUGCCUCAGGGAUACUCGAAAUGCCAUCAAAUCCAUCGAAAGAGUCAGAGGACGAUAAAUGACCGCG
rnacentral:lncRNA from 1 species